AUUGAACGCUGGCGGCAGGCCUAACACAUGCAAGUCGAGCGGAUGAAGGGAGCUUGCUCCUGGAUUCAGCGGCGGACGGGUGAGUAAUGCCUAGGAAUCUGCCUGGUAGUGGGGGAUAACGUCCGGAAACGGGCGCUAAUACCGCAUACGUCCUGAGGGAGAAAGUGGGGGAUCUUCGGACCUCACGCUAUCAGAUGAGCCUAGGUCGGAUUAGAUAGUUGGUGGGGUAAAGGCCUACCAAGGCGACGAUCCGUAACUGGUCUGAGAGGAUGAUCAGUCACACUGGAACUGAGACACGGUCCAGGCUCCUGCGGGAGGCAGCAGUGGGGAAUAUUGGACAGUGGGCGAAAGCCUGAUCCAGCCAUGCCGCGUGUGUGAAGAAGGUCUUCGGAUUGUAAAGCACUUUAAGUUGGUAGAAAGGGCAGUAAGUUAAUACCUUGCUGUUUUGACGUUACCAACAGAAUAAGCACCGGCUAACUUCGUG
rnacentral:rRNA from 1 species